GAUGAAGAACGUAGCGAAAUGCGAUAAGUAGUGUGAAUUGCAGAAUCCGUGAGUCAUCGAAUCUUUGAACGCACAUUGCGCCCUCUGGUAUUCCGGAGGGCAUGCCUGUUCGAGCGUCAUUAUCACCCCUCAAGCCCGGCUUGUUGUUGGAUGCAGCGCUUAUCCCGCUCCUCCCAAAGAUAAUGACGGCGUCUGCGACGACUCCUGUACACUGAGCUUUCGGGCACGUACACGGCUAGAAGUCCAGACCCGGUCGCCGUCCCCCCCCGCGGGGGACACCCAUUACCACAAGGUUGACCCCGGAUCAGGUAGGAAUACCCGCUGAACUUAAGCAUAUCAAUAAGCGGAGGA
rnacentral:misc_RNA from 1 species